AACAGAUAUAAACAAUGAACUCGGCGUAAAUACAUAAAAGGCGCAGAGCGCGAGCGCCCGAGAUGGCGGCCGCAGCUCCGCACGUACAGAAACGGGGGGAAGCCGAGGCUGGCGGCGGCAUUCAUAAGGCAAAGCGGUUCCGCUGAUGUCCACACGGUGGAGACGCAGCACAAUCAGAGGCCCUUGACUGGACUGGAAAUGCCCUGUAUGUUCUGCUGCGAUUGUCCUCUGAGAGGGAUUGAGGAUAAUUCUUUAAAUCAGAUACUGUGGAGAGGAUAUGCCAGCAGACUGGAAUCAAACCCCAAAACUACCAACGUGGAAGAAGGAAACUCCCCACCAUGCAGGCCAAAAAUAAGCACAUAAAGAAACUGAAAACGCAGAUGUGAUUAUAACAAAGAAAAACACAUGAUGCUGUAAUAAAGCAUUAAAAAGAA